CUCUGCCUCCCAUGGCCGACGGCCUCCACAGCGCAGCAGCCAUGGACGAGCUUCUUUUCUCCCCUGCUGUUCCCCUGCGUGCAGGGAGCACCAAGGCCAGCGCCCCCUUCUCCAAUGGCGUCCUUGCUGCAGGAUGCGCAGAAACUUCUCCAUGGCGCCCCCUGCUUCUUCCUCUCGCAGCACGGCAGCAAGCAGCCAUUCCCAUGGCCGAGCUUACCUCCCUGCGCCCUUCUCCCCCAUGGGCUGCUUAUCCAGCUCGUCCCUCUCCUCCCCUCUAUUUUCCUAUGCAUGCGCAGAGGCUCCUCCAUGGUCGUCGCCCCCCUGCAGCUUCCCCUUGCCGGCACCCCAGCAGCAGCAGCCCUGCGCAAAGCCCCUUCCCUUGCUACUUUCCGAUGUGCGCAGGGUGCUCGACGAAAUGUGCAGCAGCCUCGACGGCUCCGCGCGCUGCCGGCUUGCUGUUUUAUUGCGCAGUGAGCAGCACGCUGUGAGGCCCGUCGGUGGUUUGCUGUUUUUGCGCAGCCUCGCCGCCGUCGUCGUUCGCCCCGGUGAGGCCGCGACGCUCCUUGCUCGAUUCCGCAUCGACGUUAUUUUCCUAUGAUUAAUCAUGAAUGUGUGCUGCUUUGUUUUGUUUUGUGGAGGAGAGGAACCCCGUGUUUGGCGUGGAGAAGAAGGCAAGCCGCUCGACGCUCGUCGAUGUUUGUAGCGAUGCACAAAUCGGAAUCAUCGUCAUUCUUGCAAACGCGGAUUGGGUUUGUUUAUGGACCGUGAGAUGAUGAUUGAGCCAGUGAUGUGGUGCCACCCACAAGAUGCAGAUGGUGGACGUACUGAAGGAUGGUGGACUUAACCAGUGGAUACUCGCCGAGCGAGUACCCUCCCCCAGCAAACACUAUCUAAGUGUCAAAUUAAAGGCAAGCCCCGG
rnacentral:misc_RNA from 1 species